UGUUAGCUGGCGCAAUGGUAGCGCGCAAGACUUCUAAUCUUGAGGUUGUGGGUUCGAGUCCCACGCGGAGUG
rnacentral:tRNA from 1 species